CAGCCGCCGCGGUAAUACGUAGGUCCCGAGCGUUGUCCGGAUUUAUUGGGCGUAAAGGGAGCGCAGGCGGUUUAGUAAGUCUGAAGUUAAAGGCAUUGGCUCAACCAAUGUAUGCUUUGGAAACUGUUAGACUUGAGUGCAGAAGGGGAGAGUGGAAUUCCAUGUGUAGCGGUGAAAUGCGUAGAUAUAUGGAGGAACACCGGUGGCGAAAGCGGCUCUCUGGUCUGUCACUGACGCUGAGGCUCGAAAGCGUGGGUAGCAAACAGGAUUAGAUACCCCAGUAGUCCCUGUCUCUUAUACC
rnacentral:rRNA from 1 species